AUGAACGCUGGCGGCGUGCUUAACACAUGCAAGUCGAACGAAACACCUUAUUUGAUUUUCUUCGGAACUGAAGAUUUGGUGAUUGAGUGGCGGACGGGUGAGUAACGCGUGGGUAACCUGCCCUGUACAGGGGGAUAACAGUCAGAAAUGACUGCUAAUACCGCAUAAGACCACAGCACCGCAUGGUGCAGGGGUAAAAACUCCGGUGGUACAGGAUGGACCCGCGUCUGAUUAGCUGGUUGGUGAGGUAACGGCUCACCAAGGCGACGAUCAGUAGCCGGCUUGAGAGAGUGAACGGCCACAUUGGGACUGAGACACGGCCCAAACUCCUACGGGAGGCAGCAGUGGGGAAUAUUGCACAAUGGGGGAAACCCUGAUGCAGCGACGCCGCGUGAGUGAAGAAGUAUUUCGGUAUGUAAAGCUCUAUCAGCAGGGAAGAAAAUGACGGUACCUGACGAAGAAGCCCCGGCUAACUACGUG
rnacentral:rRNA from 1 species